rnacentral:rRNA from 1 species
UACGAACCGUGCAAACGUUGUUCGGAAUCAUUGGGCGUAAAGGGCGCGUAGGUGGCGGGACAAGCGUGCGGUGAAAGCUCGGGGCUCAACCCCGAGUCGGCCGUGCGAACUGUUUUGCUUGAGCACUGUAGAGGCAGGCGGAAUUCCGGGUGUAGCGGUGGAAUGCGUAGAGAUCCGGAAGAACACCGGUGGCGAAGGCGGCCUGCUGGGCAGUAGCUGACACUGAGGCGCGACAGCGUGGGGAGCAAACAGG